AUUGAACGCUGGCGGCAGGCCUAACACAUGCAAGUCGAGCGGAUGAAGGGAGCUUGCUCCUGGAUUCAGCGGCGGACGGGUGAGUAAUGCCUAGGAAUCUGCGUGGUAGUGGGGGAUAACGUCCGGAGACGGGCGCUGAUACCGCAUACGUCCUGAGGGAGAAAGUGGGGGAUCUUCGGACCUCACGCUAUCAGAUGAGCCUAGGUCGGAUUAGCUAGUUGGUGGGGUAAAGGCCUACCAAGGCGACGAUCCGUAACUGGUCUGAGAGGAUGAUCAGUCACACUGGAACUGAGACACGGUCCAGACUCCUACGGGAGGCAGCAGUGGGGAAUAUUGGACAAUGGGCGAAAGCCUGCUCCAGCCAUGCCGCGUGUGUGAAGAAGGUCUUCGGAUUGUAAAGCACUUUAAGUUGGGAGGAAGGGCAGUAAGUUAAUACCUUGCUGUUUUGACGUUACCAACACAAUAAGCACCGGCUAACUUCGUG
rnacentral:rRNA from 1 species